rnacentral:tRNA from 1 species
GGAGAAUUGGUCGAGCGGUCGAAGGCGCACGCUUGGAAAGCGUGUGAGGGUUUACGCCCUCCGAGAGUUCGAAUCUCUCAUUCUCCGCCA